rnacentral:lncRNA from 1 species
UGUCCCCAGCCAUCAGCAUUAGGGUUUUAAAUCCUAAACUGAAUUUUCCUUUUAGUCAGCAUUAGGGUUUUAAACCCUAAACUGAACUUUUUUCAUUCAGCCAGCAUUAGGGUUUUAAAACCCUAAACUAAGCUUUUCCAUGCAAUCAGCAUUAGGGUUUUAAACCCUAAACUGAAUUUUCCUUUUAGUCAGCAUUAGGGUUUUAAACCCUAAACUGAACUUUUUCCAUUCAGCCAGCAUUAGGGUUUUAAACCCUAAACUGAGCUUUUCCAUGCAAUCAGCAUUAGGGUUUUAAACCCUAAACUGAAUUUUCCUUUUAGUCAGCAUUAGGAUUUUAAACCCUAAACUGAACUUUUCCAUUCAGCCAGCAUUACGGUUUUAAACCCUAAACUGAGCUUUUUCAUGCAAUCAGCAUUAGGGUUUUAAACCUAAACUAAAUUUUCCUUUUAGUCAGCAUUAGGGUUUUAAACCCUAAACUGAACUUUUUCCAUUCAGCCAGCAUUAGGGUUUUAAACCCUAAACUGAACUUUUUCCAUUUUAGUCAGCAUUAGGGUUUUAAACCCUAAACUGAACUUUUUCCAUUCAGCCAGCAUUAGGGUUUUAAACCAUAAACUGAGCUUUUCCAUGCAAUCAGCAUUAGGGUUUUUAAACCCUAAACUGAAUUUUCCUUUUAGUCAGCAUUAGGGUUUUAAACCCUAAACUGAACUUUUUCCAUUUCAGCCAGCAUUAGGGUUUUAAACCCUAAACUGAGCUUUUCCAUUCAGCCAGCAUUAGGGUUUUAAACCCUAAACUGAGCUUUCCCUUUAGUCAGCAUUAGGG